GUGCGCGGGGGGGGGGGGGAGGCGAUGCAAACAGGUGUGCAACAGCCGGAGAUUGUCCGAGCGGCGGUGUGCUCUGCACAGAGCGUGCUCCUGCAGCGAGCACGUGCCGAGGUGUUCGCCCGGCUCUGGUGGAGCACGAUAGCAGUCUCCAAACACGGGUGUACAGCCUCUGGUAUCAAGAAGUGACAAACAGCACACCCAGUGACACCCACAGAGUGAAAACCUGUGCACGUAGCAGCCCGAAUGUGUUGGUAAGGUGCUCCCAGGUGCACCCAACCACUGCCCUCCAGCAGGUGCCAUCCAGCAGAUGGGAGCAGUUCUGGAGCAACACCUCAGAGAGCAGUUCCUGGAGGAAGCAUCGCUUCUUUCAGUGCCCAAAGCAUCAAAGUUGGUUGUACAGUACUGAAAGGAAACUAUUCACUCGUUGCAGGUCCAGAAAUCGACUCUGGAUGUCAUGGGACCACAUUGCUGCUGCAGAACCCACAGAAGAGGCAGAGGGGAAGUCUGAUGAAGCGAUUUUGGUUUCUGUAUGCUAAGAGUCGACUGGAAAACUCCUGUGUUGCCCUGACCUGCAAUACAACAACCUGCAGUCAGUUGAGACCUGAAGGGCAGGUGAUACGACGGGUAUUUUCACUUUAACAAGGUAAUCUUUGGAAGGAACUUCUUGGCUGUGCUUUAGGAUUUCUGGAACAGCACAGAGUGCGCUGAGUCAUGGAAACGCGGUGGGGACGAAGUCCAGCAGGAGUUACAGUGCAGAACUGAAGCUCAUUGCGUUUCCCACACAGCUGCUUUCCUGCAGCUCAACUACUGACUCAGUAAACAACAAAGCUUUCCUACCUGUGAGUAAUGUUAAAAAAUGUGCCAAUGCUUAUUAAUCAUCUCUUACUUCCUCAUUAUCCAUGCUGAUUUACAUGAUAAUGAGUUAGUUGGGUACUGUAUUUCAGUAACUUGUACAAAUGUGCUCAGUGUGAAAUCCUGCUCACAGGUUAAGGAUUUCCAUGGACUUCAGCUGAAUCAGGAAUCAGAUGUCUGCUCCUGUCAAAGGACAGCUUUCCAAAGCUCGCUGCUGGCAGUUCAUUCAUGCAAAGCACAGAGCUUUACGCGCUUCAGUGCUGAAACGUCUGUAGCCAAAGUUUAGAUGGAACUUUUGUAAUAGCAUCCUAACUAUGCUAUUAAUGUGUUCCUUGCUUUUGCACCCUUCAGAUACUCAUCUACUCUAGUUGUUUCAUGCUGUAUUUAUUUAUUCAUUACUUACUCUCAUGUCUAGCGCUCCGACUGUUUUAAUUACCUUACCUUAGUGUUUUGUUUUGCCAUUGCUCUGAUAAAGUUCUGUCUUCCUAUUUCACUUAUUGAAAGUAUCAGCAGUAGAAUACACCAAUUGGUGCAAAACUAUUGUAUCAGAACGGCAUCUCCAGUGUUACUGCACCAUCAGUGAGAAGUGGAGAUGGUCUGAACAGCAGAAAUACUGUUCUGAUUACUGCCACCACCACUGCUACAGAAAGAGACUACUCAGACAUGUUGACUUUGCUUGUUUGCUUUGCAGUGGUAGCAUUAACUGCGGGCUCUCCUAUACUCUCCACAGUAGCUGCUUUUAACUUGACUCAGCAAAGGGAAAUGGAGGGAUAGUGCAUUUGUUCAAAACAUGAACUGAGGGAAGACUGUCCUGUGCUAUCUUUCUGUGCACUGGCUUCAGCAGCUGUGCAUCACCUGUUUCAUUGCUGCAUAAAUUAUACAGCAAUUUAGGUAGCAUAUGCCAGCUGAUGAAGUAAUAAUCAGGGUGGCAUUACAUCAACCCCUAAAACCAGCUUCACAUCCUUUUUAUUAAAAAGAAAAAUAAAAGGUAAUGUAUCAGGGAAAGUCUUUGUACUUAUUUUGGUGUAAGGUGCACUUCAGUUUUAUGGACCAGGUCUUAGCAGCAUCAAUCACAGCUUAAAUGAGAAGAAAGUCAGUCGAAAAAGUACUAUUUGACAUUGUUUUGAAACUUCUUUUUACUGGGAAGUUCAUACUACGUCUCUUUCUUCUUCAUCCCUCUGCUUCUCUGCACUCAUCCUUCCUCAUUUUAGGCAGCUCUGCAGGAGCCACAGAAGGUUCCAGUUGUGCAUCAGGCUUCGUGUGUUACAGCAUUGCAGGCUGCUGGGAUCAACGCAGUGCUCUUUCACCUACUGAUGACACAUACAUCUCCAAAGGUACUCUACUGAAGGGAGUAAUAAAUUCUUAAGGCAAUGCAAAAAGGUAAGCGUAGCAGAAAUGCUGUCACAGCCUGAACCAGUGAUUGAGCACCUGGUGGGAAGGCAGGACCAACCCAGGGAAGCUCAGGUGUAUGCAAUGCAAUGCAGUGCACCUGAGUGACUGGAAGGGAUGGAGCCAGGAUCCACCUCUUCCCGGAGGUCAUUUAAGGCUUGGCAGUGGAGGCAAGGGUAUCUUGCUGGAGGUUCCUGUCUACCUCAGGCUUUCUGUAGGUAAGCAGAGUCUUUUCUUUGUUUCUGCGUCUACAGCUGUGACAUUUGGUCAUGUGCUUAGUUGUUACAGCCUAGGACUUUGCUACUGUGGUGCCGCUGCUGUGCUUUCCAUUGCGUUACAUUAAGUGUAAGGCGAUGUGAACUCCCUUGAUAGAACUGGGAUUUGCAAUUGCAACUUUGAUCCUUCUCUGCUCUGGUUUUAUUGUUUAAAUAAUCAGCUCAAUUAUAUAUAAAGGUUUCAGUGCCAGAAGUAGUAUUUUUUUUUUCAGUUAAGUUCUAUAUCAGAUAGGACCAUUUUGAUUCCUCAAAAUACAAUCCUUAGAAGCAGUAUGACUUGUAACAACUUUGUAUUUCAGUAAUCUUCAAAAUAGCAGCGUCUUAUUUCUGAUGUGUAUGAGCUCUCUUCAUGUUGCGGGUUUAACUGUCAAAAACAAAAUUCCAGUAACACUGUACAUGCAGUAAGAACAAAUCUCAUUUAUUGUAUUGCAACAAAACAUGCACUGCCAUCCGAUGCUUCCAGUAGUUCCUGUCACAACUCGUCUUCACAGAUGAUUUCAUAAAAUACACAACAGAUUGUUAAAUGAAAUCUGCUUUCUGGACUGAAUCCAGCUGUAUCGUCUGCUGGGGCCCUUAAACCUUAGCAGAGGUCUGAAAGCCACACCUGGCACUGAUGCUUCUGGAGCUGAGUGACAUGGUUAGGGAGUUCCAGCUGAACCCACUAAUAUUCAGUUGAACUUGGCACACUUGUCUGUUUCAAUCAGUGUAUUUCAGACAUCAUAUAUAUAUAUAUAUAUAUAUAUAUAAGGGAUAUAUAUCCAUAUAUAUAUAUAUAUGGAAAGAAAAAGAGGAUGUCUGAAAUACACUGAUAUAUAUGUAUAUCUCAGGUAUUUUACACAGACUGCUUGGUAAAUCCAAGAGAUGAUGGACUACCUGUAUGCACCUAUUACUGAGUCCAGCCUGCUGCUUGCCCAAAGGCAGCAAGAGCUGCUUUUUGGUGUAAGGAUGACAUGGCAUUGCAAAUGACUGGAUCAAGCAGUCCAGGAAUCUAAAUAUAAAUGAUAUGGUAGUUCUAAGUGCAUGUUGCUAACAUCUCUCUGUAAAGGUUUUUCCUUGCAUCUGUUCCCUCUGGUUGGAAGGAGGUCAAAUACAGAAGCACAAAGGAAAACCAAUAGUUAAGUAUGUAAACCUUUGCCAGCCACACAAACUCUAGCAGAGAACACCUUUCAAGCUAUAGUAAGACUAUCGUAUGGUGGAAUAUGCUCCUUAGGAGCUUUGUUAUCUAAAAGCUAUGCAGAAAUCUCAGUAAUUCUUGUGGCAACACUAUUUUAAUAUGGUGUCUGCCCCAAUCCUACGUCUGUAAGGCAGCACAGCAACUGUAACUCUUAAUGCAUUAAGUACAUAGGCUGUGAAUGUGGCACUAAGUGCCCAAAGUCUCUCUAGAAAUGAAAGUGUUUGCUAGUAAUGUUUUCUGGUAUAGAAAAUCUCAGCAGGUGUCGGGUUGCAUUCUACCAGGAAGAUGUCCAAGCUCACCUUCCUGCAUGGAGAGGCAGGGAACACAAACGAUUCUCCUGGGAUGUGGAUCACCACAGCAGCUAUAUUCUAUUUUCAGAGCUCUACUGGAAUGUUUCCAAGACCACCAUGACAAAACUGCUUCGGUAUGGGUGGUAAACAUGUCUCUACUGUUACUGCAGACUUUUCUGCUGUUUGCUAUGCAUUCUUUAGCUACUGUUUCUUGAGCGGAAGGAUUCUUUCUGCACUACCACCUCAUCCUUGGACCCCUCACUGGAUAUCCAUGUGGAAAAAAGGCAAACAAACCAUGUGCUCUGCUAAGCAGAUACCAUUUACAGGGUGGAACCUGCAGAUCAUCAAG
ensembl:lncRNA